rnacentral:sRNA from 1 species
UGAGAGACGGCUUCUCAUCAUGGCGGACCCUAGAGAUAAGGCGCUUCAGGACUACCGCAAGAAGCUGCUUGAGCACAAGGAGAUCGACGGCCGUCUUAAGGAGUUAAGGGAACAAUUAAAAGAACUUACCAAGCAGUAUGAAAAGUCUGAAAAUGAUCUGAAGGCCCUACAAAGUGUUGGGCAGAUUGUGGGUGAAGUGCUUAAACAGUUAACUGAAGAAAAAUGUGAGUGAUGAAUUAGCUUAUUAAUUAGUAAAGAAACAGCCCACCUCUCUCACUUUUGAAAUGCUUAUUAUUUUAAUGACAAUAAUGCAGAGAGAGAGUAUUUUUGCAUAGACUUAAGUUUUCCUUCAACUAAUGUCUUCUUGGAGGACAGAAAUACAUCUAAACCCUCUGUCAACGUGGGUAUGUAUUUUUUUACUUUCUAUUUUUCAAUUAGUUCUUUUAUGUUUUUUCUUCUAGUCAUUGUUAAAGCUACCAAUGGACCAAGAUAUGUUGUGGGUUGUCGUCGACAGGUAAUACUUUAUAUUUG